rnacentral:rRNA from 1 species
GACGAACGCUGGCGGCGUGCCUAAUACAUGCAAGUCGAACGCAGUGGGGACGGGUGAGUAACACGUGGGUAACCUCCCAUCAGAGGGGAUAACACUUGGAAACAGGUGCUAAACCGAUACUGAUGGAUGGACCCGCGGUGCAUUAGCUAGUUGGUGAGGUAACGGCUCACCAAGGCCACGAUGCAUAGCCGACCUGGGAGGGUGUCGGGCCCACCGGGGCGUGAGCAACGGCCCAGACUCCUACGGGAGGCAGCAGUGGGGAAUCUUCGGAAAUGGACGAAAGUCUGACCGACCAACGCCGCGUGAGUGAAGAAGGUUUUCGGAUCGUAAAACUCUGUUGUUAGAGAAGCGGUAUCUAACCAGAAAGCCACGGCUAACUACGUGCCAGCCGCCGCGGUAAUUC